UCUCUCUCUCUCUCUCCCUCUCCCCUUUUUCCUUUCAUCCUCUCUUCCCCCUCUAUCUCGUAUUUGCUUAAUGCAUAAGCAAUUUCCGUGUCGGAGGCGCCACAGACAGUUUCCUAUAAUAACCCACUUACAGCGACUCGACGAUGAACUAUUGUCGCGACUCGGCCAAUUCCAUUCGGAAUUGCGACUGCCGCACAAUCGCAAGACACCCGAGGCAUUUUGACCCAGAAAACGAGGCGUGCUUCCGCGCGCUACGAGGAUAAACGAAAUGAGAGAGGGAUGCAAACGGAAUGAAGAGAUUUUCGUAGACGUUUGGAAACAUAGUAUCCUUAGAGCGGUAGCCGGAGGACAGUAUAUACUCUGCUCAAGAUGCGUUAGAUGGCACGUUGGAAUGAAGAAAAGAGAGUAAAGUGGAAUGAAGAACCAGGGAGAAAUCUCCGACCGGGCGACAACAGUUUUGCUAUAUCCUAUCAAAGAUCGCUUUUACGGGUCGUUGCGUUCCACAAAUCGGCCGUCGGUUUCAUUGGCUCCACACCCAUGACGACACAUGGUGGUUACGCAUCGCUGCGUUUCGCCUUGCGGAAACGGCGGUUUUAUGCAUUUCACAAUAAGAGCGAGAGAGAG